rnacentral:tmRNA from 1 species
GGGGACGACAGGCUUCGACGUGGUCGGUUCGUGGGGGUGGUUGCGAGUCGAGGUCCCGGGCGGCCUCGUAAAACACCCGGGAAAAAAAUAAGUGCGAACUCUCACGAGUUCCGUCUCGCCGCUUAGUCACUAAGCCGUGAGUCUCCUGGCCUCUUAGCUCGCCUGCGGCGGAGUGCCGGGAUCAACUAGCAGGCUCGCUUGGCUAGGCCCGCUCCGGCCGACCCCGAGGACAACUUUCGGAGCUGGUCUCCCGCAACCCCGCCGGCGUGGCGAGCGGGAGACGAGAUCAGAGCGCCGGAUACGCUCGUAGAAACCACCUUUUGCGCGACUGCGGACGCGGGUUCAAUUCCCGCCGUCUCCACCU